rnacentral:rRNA from 1 species
AUUGAACGCUGGCGGCAUGCUUUACACAUGCAAGUCGAACGGUAACAGGGAGCUUGCUCCGCUGACGAGUGGCGAACGGGUGAGUAAUGCAUCGGAACGUACCCAGUCGUGGGGGAUAACGUAGCGAAAGUUACGCUAAUACCGCAUACGUCCUGAGGGAGAAAGCGGGGGACCGAAAGGCCUCGCGCGAUUGGAGCGGCCGAUGUCGGAUUAGCUAGUUGGUAGGGUAAAGGCCUACCAAGGCGACGAUCCGUAGCGGGUCUGAGAGGAUGAUCCGCCACACUGGGACUGAGACACGGCCCAGACUCCUACGGGAGGCAGCAGUGGGGAAUUUUGGACAAUGGGCGCAAGCCUGAUCCAGCCAUGCCGCGUGAGUGAAGAAGGCCUUCGGGUUGUAAAGCUCUUUCAGGUGGAAAGAAAACGCAUGGGUCAAUACCCUGUGUGGAUGACGGUACCAUCAGAAGAAGCACCGGCUAACUACGUG